CCCGCCCGCCGGGGCCAGGCGCGGCGGCUCGAUGGUGAGCGCGAUGGAUCUCGAGCUAGCUCGGGCGCGUGGACACGUUGGUGAGCGCGCCAGCGGCCGUGGCGAGCUCGAGCCCGGGAUAAACCUAGCAUCCUGGUCGCCAUGGACGCCGGCGCUGCACCUGCGCCGCUGGUUGGUCCUCUCCGACACCGUCCGGGCCCUCCUGCACUGCAUCACCCUCCUACCGCGCCUACUAGACCUACAGGAAGUGCUCAUGUAUCAAAUUCCAGUUGUUACUCAACCUGUAGUGGAUUCCAUUUGCUGAAGAUAUCUUCCAUUGUCACCAGUGCAUCCUUCUAUCUGGCCUUCACGGAUCAGUGGUGCUGCUGUGUGAAUUUGUGCCGCUGUGUCGAAUUGGGCGGAGGCUUCCCUGUCAAGAAGAAGGUGCAGAGAAGCGUUGGGCACUUCAGUGCAGGCAAGGUGGUUGCCCAUGUCCUGGAGGCUAAGAUGUUGGCUUUUGUAGCAGCAGAUUCCCUAUGUAUCUAUCAAGAUGGGAUAUUCAGGUCGCUCUGCGUAGUGGGUGCCUCAUCAUUUACAGGAAAGCUAUUAAUUCUAGGAAGCGAUUGCGUGCUCAUGUAGGACUUGAUGAAGGAGAGGUAUGUCCCAAGUGAACUGGAUUAUUAUGAUGAUUUCGUCGAUUCAUACUCCUUUUUAUCCUGAAAUAAAUGGCUUUCACCUUUGGGCAGUUUAAGUGAUGGAAGAUAUUGUUUCAAUGAUAUUGAAGCUAUUUAGAUACUAUGGCAGUUAAGGUUCAUUUGAAGUCGCGGAUGGAUGCAUGAUUUAUGCAGAAAUGUAUAAGUGCCAUGUAGUGGUUAAUUAGAGGUGUAUGGAAGUACAAGUACGCUGUGGCUAAUUUGUUCCCUCUUUUAUUGUUGUUACCGUGUCCUAUCUCAGGUGUUCUUCGACUAAAAUCAGGCUGCUCCUGCCAUGUCUACCAGUGAAAUGCCUCCUUCCAUGAUAAAGCAGCCUACUCUUAGGUACAGAUCUUGGUGUUGAUUCUGCCUCACCUUUCCAGCCGGCAGUGGUUCGGUUUGCUGCAGGUUUCCUCGGUGUUCAGGCAGCACCCCUCCCCCAUUUAUUUUACUUAGGUUUGAUGCAUUUUAGGUAUUGUUUGUUGUCGAACGGAUUCAGAACCGUUGUACUGGCAUAACAAAAAUAGAUGGUGAUGUAUCGACACAUUCCAAGUUUAGAAUUACUUUAUUAUGUAAAACAAAGAUAAUCCUUGGUAGAAAUAUAUUGUCAAAUGUGUGCUGCAAUUGUAAUUAGAGAUCGAGGUCGGAUCAGUAUUUUGGUUUUUGUAUUAGCAAUUUCUUAGUGCCUUUCUUAGUGUGUGUACAGUCCUUCAUAGAUGUUUACUUUGGUGCCUGCUACUGGUUAUAGUCAUAGGGAUGAUAUUUACCUUACUAAAAGGGCAAUGGCUCAUUACAUUGUUAAUUCCAGUUGUUUGGUUCAGUGCCGUACAAUAUGAUGCAGAAAACACAAUAGUGGUUUUUAUUCAGAGAAAGCACUUGAUAGGUAACUCUCCUACUCCUUCGUUGCCCUCCUCUCCAUCCAGUCCUGCCGGAGCCCCGACGGCGGCGGCUCCCUCCAUCUUCCCUUGCUCAUCUUCCGUCACGUAGGCGACCUGCGCCCUCCGCUCAGGCUGCUCUCUCUCUCUCUCUCUGCAUACCGGAGACAGCACGACUUGAGUCUCUUCUAAUCCCUCCCCUUCUUUCUUUGGGUAACAUGAGAAUAGUACAGAAAUCAUACGAGUAGAUUGCAGCCGAACCAAAUACUGCUUGUGCAUUAAACAUGAUUUAUUUCACUGGGUUGUUAGCACUGUCUCCUAGAUGCAAUGCUCCUCUGCUUUCUUCCUAUCUCACCAAUGGAUUCAUUUGGACUAAGAAAAUGUGCUCUUUUUUGAAUCCGUGAUGCCACUACUUUCUGCUGUGAAGUACUCUAGUGAUUCUUACAUGAUUUCCAUACAUCAGACUGUGUCAUAUGUGACCUUUUGCUUUACUAUGAUGUUUAAUUAAUGUAAGAUGCAAUUUUUUUCGAAAUAUCAACGAUUAGGUGAUGCUUAUUUAGGCCUGAAACCUUUAACUUGCCAAAUUUUUAUACAUAGGUGACCUCUCCGACCUUUUCUACUUCUAGGGAUGAUGAUGGUUUUGAAAUUAUGAUCAGAUACUUAUUAAGUUCUAUUUUUUCUUGUGCUCAUGUUUCUAUCCUAAUCCAAGGAACUGGUUCUUUUUAUUUUGUGGAUCAGGUACUUCAUGGCAGCGCUGUGGACAGCAUCACCAUAACCACAUUGAUGGUCCAAGCCCCAACUCACGACAUCAUUUUUAGUUGGGUUGUGAGCACCUCAACAACUCAACAACAAAUAUACUUGAUGUGUAGCCGCAUAUACUACAUCAUCACCGACAUCAUUUCUAUGACAUGCUCAAAGUGAUGUAAUUAACCAAACCAUUACUGUUAUUAGUGCUUAGUUCCUCCUAUAUCUUCGAGAAAUUCUAAUGAUGGAAUGAAUGGACUAUAUUUCCUUCAAUCAGUGGAAUAUAUAUUGUGUAACCAGUAGUGGACUGGGUGGUGCUACCAUCGUGCUUUGCUAUUCAUGUAACAACCUGAAUCGAAUAUGAAUCGCGUUCUACCAAGUUGGAUAUAAUGUCACUGCAUUGUAAAUUA